rfam:Schistosoma mansoni strain Puerto Rico chromosome 2, complete genome
ACACUGCUGAGGAGUCCCCCAGUGGGACGAAACGGCCGUCCAGUGU